rnacentral:rRNA from 1 species
CCUACGGGGGGCAGCAGUGGGGGAUAUUGCACAAUGGGGGGAACCCUGAUGCAGCGACGCCGCGUGGGUGAAGAAGCGCCUCGGCGCGUAAAGCCCUGUCAGCAGGGAAGAAAAUGACGGUACCUGAAGAAGAAGCUCCGGCAAACUACGUGCCAGCAGCCGCGGUAAUACGUAGGGGGCAAGCGUUAUCCGGAUUUACGGGGUGUAAGGGGGGCGCAGACGGCGAUGCAAGCCAGGAGUGAAAGCCCUGAGCCCAACCCCGGGCCUGGUCUUGGAACUGCGUGGCUGGAGUGCAGGAGGGGAAGGGGGAAUUCCGGGUGUAGCGGUGAAAUGCGUAGAUAUCAGGAGGAACCCCGGUGGCGAAGGAGGCCUGCUGAACUGCAACUGACGUUGAGGCCCGAAAGCGUGGGGAGCAAACAGGAUUAGAUACCCGAGUAGU